GAUGAACGCUGGCGGCGUGCCUAAUACAUGCAAGUCGAGCGAACAGACGAGGAGCUUGCUCCUUUGACGUUAGCGGCGGACGGGUGAGUAACACGUGGGUAACCUACCUAUAAGACUGGGAUAACUUCGGGAAACCGGAGCUAAUACCGGAUAAUAUUUCGAACUGCAUGGUUCGAUAGUGAAAGAUGGCUUUGCUAUCACUUAUAGAUGGACCUGCGCCGUAUUAGCUAGUUGGUAAGGUAACGGCUUACCAAGGCAACGAUACGUAGCCGACCUGAGAGGUGAUCGGCCACACUGGAACUGAGACACGGUCCAGACUCCUACGGAGGCAGCAGUAGGGAAUCUUCCGCAAUGGGCGAAAGCCUGACGGAGCAACGCCGCGUGAGUGAUGAAGGUCUUCGGAUCGUAAAACUCUGUUAUUAGGAAGAACAAACGUGUAAGUAAACUGUGCACGUCUUGACGGUACCUAAUCAGAAAGCCAACGGCUAACUACGUGCCAGCAGCCGCGGUAAUCG
rnacentral:rRNA from 1 species